CCUGCUGACCCUCCAUUUAAAAGCGGAUGCCACUCAGUCCGCCGGGAGGGUAAAGUGACCCGCACACGGUCCUACCGCAGCACUCAGUUUAGACUGGCACCGGGUUACUUCGACACUCACUGGAAAACGUGACGCCUGCCAGUUUCAGGCAACGUGUAACCUCCUGGCACCGAGGCCGGCUCGAGGAGAGAGCUGAAAACCAAAAAAGCUUUAUGUGUGGCAACGCUGGGUGGAGGCGACCUGGGGCACUGGAGGAAAAGCGCUGGGGACACCGCGUGCUGGGGUGCCAGCCAGCGGCUGGGAGGGUCGAGACCCAAGGGCAAAUUGCCACAAUGAGAAACUCCCAGGCAUCUGGGGUAUGUGUCUGUUCUCUGUGAAUCCUGAGUUUAAAGUUGAACCUGCUCCUCACUCACAGUCCCUUUGUCGAUGAGGGCUUGUAAGUUCUUCUAAUAACCAUGUGUGAC